AUGAACUACCGCUCGAGACCUCUUAAUGGGCUGGCCGAUAGAACAUCGAUGGAGGAAGGGGGUGUGCAUCGUGAACAUGACCCCCAAAGAAAAUGCAAGAGAAGCGGUUGGGCAACGCGCGCGACCCCUUCUACUUGUCAGUGCAGGGAAAAGGCAAAAGAAACUCUCAUGUCUGCACCCUUCAUCAUAUGCCUGGUGUAUGACCAAUAUUUUGUAGGACUGCUAAAUGAGAUGCAGUUCGUUCGCCUCAAUCUGGACGCUCACCACACAAAUCUCCUAGUACACCUGACUCUUUUAACAUGGGAGAAUGAUUACUACAAGACUUUAUCUGGUAGAGAAGAUGGUCUAGAUAUUGAGCCAGGUAACUGUUUCUGGGAUGAAUCCACUAAAGUUCCUCCUGAACAGAAUGAUAUCUUAGAUGCUCCUUUCUCUGAAGAGGAAUUUAAAACAGCUGUGUUUGGCUCAUAUUCUAAAGGUGCCCCUGGCCCUGAUGGCUUCCCUUUCUUAUUCUAUCAAAAGUUUUGGGAUUUGGUCAAAAGGGAUUCAAUGGAUAUGUCUGCUGCUUGUGAUAAAGGGGAAUUGGAUCUUCAUAGACUCAACUUCCCCCUGAUUACCCUAAUCCCUAAAGAGCGAUAUUUGAUUGCUCCCAACUAG
rnacentral:rRNA from 1 species